UUUUUACAAGUCCCUUUUUAAGCUUAGAAGGAUUCAAGAAGGUAGCUACUUGUGGAGCUUCAAGAAGGGCUUUGUCUUGCUUGUUCUUCAUCUUUUCUCAUCAUCCUCCUCAAUAGAUUCUACCCUAGCUAUAAGCUAGUAGGAAUGGAUGGGAAGACGUGAUUGACCGACCUUGACUGUUAGCGAUAUUUGAGAAUCUAACCGAGCAAACCGAGGUGAGUUCACACUUUUCUACAAAGCAUGGUAAAUUCCCGGUGGGAAUGGGAAUGGGUACAGGAAUAGGGAUUCCUCGUCCUUUGAGACGUGUUCAGGAAUGUAAAUUCCUCGUCCUGUUGGGACGUGUUAAACUUACUGGACUAGAACUCUAUCAGCGAAGUCCCUCCCUUUUUGUAUCGACUUAAUCGCCGAGGCUAUGGCGAGCGGGUCAUUAGUUAAUAGCGCUAUUAGGUUUAACAAACCUC
rnacentral:lncRNA from 1 species